rnacentral:tRNA from 1 species
GGAGAGCCAGUGUGGUGUAGUGGUUAAGAGCGGUAGAUUCGUAAUCUGGUGAACUGGGUUCGAUUCCCUGCUCCUCCA